UUUUUUUUUUUUUUUUUUUGAUGCAAAAUGACAACAUUUAAUGGGAUGAUAAGGAAAUAAGACUUGACAAGAAACCAUAGCCCACUGCAGACUGUUCACGAUGUCAGAUGGUUCAUGAUUUUUUUCCAGGUUUGAUACAGAAGAAUCAGUUUGUUACAAGAAAUGCUUCUCCAACUGGGAUUUAAAACAUCAUUUAAACAAUAAACACGUUUG
rnacentral:lncRNA from 1 species